CCAUUGAGACGAACAGAGAAUGAUUUAUUUGUACUGUUUCCACUAUACAUGCCACAUUUCCUGGAGCACACCAAGUUUUCUGCACUUGUAAAAGGAAUUUACAGAAGCGAUUUCUGAAUGCAUUGAAGCAGUUCACUUCAAAUUUGAAUCAUGGAUUCACAUGGAAAAGUUUUUCUUACCAAGGCAAUUGGACUUAGUUGCUUAGGAUAGGGUAACUGAUGAAAUUUGAUAGUACUACAUUGCUGUAUGUUUUUUUAUCUUUCAUUUUAAGUGGUGAUCCUGUUGCUUCCUCUUUAAUUAUUUUAAAAGCAGACAUUGAUCGGAAAAUAUCUAUUUA